UGACAAUAACAUCUGCCUCACAGAGCUGAUAUGAUGCAUAGAGAAGAUUUUACACAAGGCCCUGCUAAAGUGAUCAAUAAAAACCCCACCAUAACUCAUUAGGAUUAGAAGAAUGUCACAGUGGGAAAGGAAGUAUGACGAAGUCUCAAUGCCCAGUUGUGGAGUCUGGGCUGUACACUGAGAGAAAACACGGCCAUUUUCUAGGAUGCAAGGGGUGUCAGAUAUCAGUGCCUGGAAUUGUUGCGAGAGACAUGUGGGAAGAAAGCUGACUGAGGAAAGAUGGAGACAACUAAGAAGCUAAGAAAAUGACAGAGCUUCAGGAGUUUUACACCCAGAGUCUGCUCCAUUCUGGAUGCCAUCAACGGGCACCAAUGCCUUCACCUAUGGCCUCAGCAGGAUCUGACCAUACUCCACACUCUCCAGUGGAGAAGGAGCGUCCCUUGAUCAACUCAGCUUUCUGAGCUUAGCAUCUCCUUCCUCUUUGACUUGGGCCAAUUGUCUCACCCUGUUAAGUGGUUGCCAGUAUGCCUGUAAGUCUCUUAUUGUUUACUAGAGUCAGUGGGAGAGCUUCUGCUAACCACGGACUCC